rnacentral:rRNA from 1 species
GUGGGGAAUUUUGGACAAUGGGCGAAAGCCUGAUCCAGCCAUGCCGCGUGUGUGAAGAAGGUCUUCGGAUUGUAAAGCACUUUAAGUUGGGAGGAAGGGCAGUAAGUUAAUACCUUGCUGUUUUGACGUUACCGACAGAAUAAGCACCGGCUAACUUCGUGCCAGCAGCCGCGGUAAUACGAAGGGUGCAAGCGUUAAUCGGAAUUACUGGGCGUAAAGCGCGCGUAGGUGGUUUUGUAAGUUGGAGGUGAAAUUCCCGGGCUCAACCUGGGAACUGCCUCCAAAACUGCAUGACUAGAGUACGGUAGAGGGUAGUGGAAUUUCCUGUGUAGCGGUGAAAUGCGUAGAUAUAGGAAGGAACACCAGUGGCGAAGGCGACUACCUGGACUGAUACUGACACUGAGGUGCGAAAGCGUGGGGAGCAAACAGGAUUAGAAACCCGUGUAGUCC